UACAGAGGUCUCAAGCGUUGUUCGGAUUCAUUGGGCGUAAAGGGUGCGUAGGCGGCGCGGUAAGUCGGGUGUGAAAUCUCGGAGCUUAACUCCGAAACUGCAUUCGAUACUGCCGUGCUUGAGGACUGGAGAGGAGACUGGAAUUUACGGUGUAGCAGUGAAAUGCGUAGAUAUCGUAAGGAAGACCAGUGGCGAAGGCGGGUCUCUGGACAGUUCCUGACGCUGAUGCACGAAGGCCAGGGGAGCAAACGGG
rnacentral:rRNA from 1 species